AGAGACAGCAGUCGCCACGGGAAUACGUAGGUGGCAAGCGUUGUCCGGAAUUAUUGGGCGUAAAGGGCUCGCAGGCGGUUUCUUAAGUCUGAUGUGAAAGCCCCCGGCUCAACCGGGGAGGGCCAUUGGAAACUGGGAAACUUGAGUGCAGAAGAGGAGAGUGGAAUUCCACGUGUAGCGGUGAGAUGCGUAGAGAUGUGGAGGAACACCAGUGGCGAAGGCGACUCUCUGGUCUGUAACUGACGCUGAGGAGCGAAAGCGUGGGGAGCGAACAGGAUUAGAUACCCCAGUAGUCCCUGUCUCUUAUAC
rnacentral:rRNA from 1 species